rnacentral:antisense_RNA from 1 species
GGGUGCUUGAGGCUUUCUGGCUCAGGCAUUGGACAGGUCGUUCGUGCAGGUGCUGGAAAGUAAAAGCCCCAGGAGAUAUUUCUAUCAACCUGGGGACUAACAAUCCAAACCUAGCACGUUGGAUGUUAGUCCCAAUCGAGCAGGGAGGCAAUAACAUGCUGACAAAG